rnacentral:lncRNA from 1 species
UUGAAAGCCAGUUUUGAAAUUGCCUAUUCUGUUUAUAUUUAUACAGCAGAGGAAUUGCUGCAGGAGUCAAGCAUAUCACGGCCUCUUGAAGUUGCUUCGCAGCUCCUCGUAGAAGAGCCCCAGUGUUCAGACUCUGCAUCAAAGAGCUAUCGCACAAAAGUCUUGCAAAGACUACAAGAAAUUGUUGAGAACCAGCAAGACAUCCUUGCCAUGCAAAGGCAGUUACUGGCUGCAGUAGCUGUGACCAUGACAGAGGAAGAUGGGUUUUUUUCUGUAAAAUGGGCCAUGCCAAACAGUGGAGGAUCUGCAGACCCUUGACAGGGAUUUGGAAAAUAAAGACAAAAGGGCCAAGAUGGUAAUACUUAUGCAAGACACUCAAAUCCGUUACCAAAUCCGAUUUUUUUGCACAUGAUAAUAGUGUAUUUACAACCUAGUGCAAAUAUUAGUGACCUUGAUACAACAUAUAGGUUCCAUUUACAUACCAAGGGGGUAAAAAUGUUUUUUAUUUGAAUCUAAAACUUUUUAAGAAGAGUAGGGUUGGUUAUCGUUUGAAUCUUAUCGAUUCCUAG